AAAGUCGAACAGACUUAAAUUUUAAGCUUCUACACCUAAAUUUAUUCUUAAUCCAACAUCGAGGUCGCAAUCUAUUUUAUCAAUAUGAACUCUCCAAAAUAAUUACGCUGUUAUCCCUAAAGUAACUUAUUCUAUUAUGCAUUAAUAAUUAAUCAAUAAAUCAUAAAUCAAUGAUAUAAUAAAUAAAAGUUCAUUAAAUUUUAUUAUCUCCCCAAUAAAAUAUAAUAAUCUAAAAUAACUAAAUCUUCUAAAUAAUUAAUUUUUAUAUUAUUAUAUAAAGAUUUAUAGGGUCUUCUCGUCUUUUAAAUCUAUUUUAGCUUUUUAACUAAAAAAUAAAAUUCUAAUAAAUUUUAUAUAAAACAGUCUAUAUUUCAUCCAACCAUUCAUUCCAGUUUUCAAUUAAAAAACUAAUGAUUAUGCUACCUUUGUACAGUCAAUAUACUGCAGCCAUUUAAAUAUUCAGUGGGCAGGUUAAAC
rnacentral:rRNA from 1 species